rnacentral:rRNA from 1 species
UCCGUUGGUGAACCAGCGGAGGGAUCAUUACUGAGUUUACGCUCUACAACCCUUUGUGAACAUACCUACAACUGUUGCUUCGGCGGGUAGGGUCCCCGUGACCCUCCCGGCCUCCCGCCCCCCCGGGCGGGUCGGCGCCCGCCGGAGGAUAACCAAACUCUGAUUUAACGACGUUUCUUCUGAGUGGUACAAGCAAAUAAUCAAAACUUUUAACAACGGAUCUCUUGGUUCUGGCAUCGAUGAAGAACGCAGCGAAAUGCGAUAAGUAAUGUGAAUUGCAGAAUUCAGUGAAUCAUCGAAUCUUUGAACGCACAUUGCGCCCGCCAGCAUUCUGGCGGGCAUGCCUGUUCGAGCGUCAUUUCAACCCUCAAGCCCUGCUUGGUGUUGGGGCCCUACAGCUGAUGUAGGCCCUCAAAGGUAGUGGCGGACCCUCCCGGAGCCUCCUUUGCGUAGUAACUUUACGUCUCGCACUGGGAUCCGGAGGGACUCUUGCCGUAAAACCCCCCAAUUUUCCAAAGGUUGACCUCGGAUCAGGUAGGAAUACCCGCUGAACUUA